UGUAAGGCUCUUCUCAACUGACAACAGA
rnacentral:piRNA from 1 species